rnacentral:tRNA from 1 species
GCCCGGCUAGCUCAAUCGGUAGAGCGUGAGACUCUUAUAGAGUAUCCUCUCACGAGAUCAUCUCAAGGUUGUGGGUUCGACCCCCACGUCGGGCU